GCUCCCGGCGCGGGCGGGAGGCAAAGCACAGUAGGCCUUGCCAGUGGGAAGUGCUGGAGAUGUGGAGUCGUGCCUUUGAACGGCGAUAGGGGUCCCACUUAGCAAUUUCAUGUUUGAAAUAUUCUAGACAUGGAUGAUCACACCUAAAUUAGAAGCAAUGCUCAGGACUUCUUAGGAACAAAUAAUACCUUCUGCUAGAAGGUUUCUCAAGUGUGUUGAUGCUUCAUGAACACGUGUGAGAUCUUGAGUGAAAAGAGUUCCUUGUAAAUUGAUUGGUCUCCAGGGAGGAAACUAGCAUGUGCAAAGGGUUGGAACUGAUGUAAACAUCAGCUUAUGAUUUGAUGAGUGGCUGAUUCAUACUAGAUGACUCCAGUUCUUGCCUGUAAUGUAUUAUCUUGAAAGUGAAAUUGAGAGAAGCAAUGGCUAAAACCACAUCUUCAAUGAUUGUGUUUAAAUAGGAACCUCAUUGUUUGUUGAAACUGAAGUUUCUUAAAAACUGCUGUAAUUUAUUUCUAUGUCUGUGUAGAUUAAUUGAAAUAAAAUGUGAGAAUGCUACCA